rnacentral:lncRNA from 1 species
AGAAACUGCAGGACUUGGUGAACAGGACUCCAUGGAAAAAAUGUUGCUUCUCUGGGGAUGGGGAGUACAUAGUGGCAGGCUCAGCGAGGCAGCAUGCGCUGUAUAUCUGGGAAAAGAGCAUUGGCAAUCUGGUGAAGAUCUUGCAUGGGACCAGAGGGGAGCUCCUGCUGGACGUGGCUGUGAGUAGAGCAAGAUGUUGCUUUGGUGGCACACACUAGCGUGGCUUGAAUCUGUUCUGACCAACAACUCUUCUCUCUCUUAAAUUACAAUUUAGUGGCAUCCAGUUCGACCCAUCAUAGCUUCUAUUUCUAGUGGAGUGGUGUCCAUUUGGGCCCAAAAUCAAGUAGUAAGUAUUUUUCUGGUUGAUUUGCUUUGAAACUUGGUAUUUCUUUUACCAAAAAAAAAAAAAAAAAA